rnacentral:lncRNA from 1 species
CUUUCACUUCCGGCCUGGACCUGAGGCUCCUGCUACGUGCAGCGGAUUGUGCCGGGCGUCGGCAACUGCUCGGCUCGCCAGACUGUUCACGGGCCCAGUAGAGCAGUAAAUAACCGGCCACCCCUGCGGCCGUGCCGGCCGUGAUGGAACUAGACAGCUCACCCGACUCGAGAAGAACGGGGUGGGGAGGCGAGGACGCAGGGCGACCUGGAGAAGAAAGUUUCCCAGAUGGCUCUAGGGUGAAUCUUGAAUGUUGUGAUGCAGCUCGCCAGGCCUACGGGGAGGUAAAGGACUUGCCAGGCUGAAGUAACUUCAGAAGCAGAAAAACGGAGGAUUAAAACCACAAGUCGUUGUGAUGUGAAAUUUCGUGGGGCAAGAAAGGGCCGGAAGUAGGUAGUCUGCACGGCUCUGCUAGAGAGAGGAUCACAAGAUCACACAAAUGUGAUCUACUUAUGACUGGAAAAAAUGUGUACUUUCAGAGCCAGCUUGAGGCAUUCCAUUGCCUCCAAUAUGAGCUCUUCCCUUCAAGAUUGACUAUAAAUCUCUUAGUUACAACUCACAUCCCCUUUCCCCAGACAAAACCCCACAUAGCCCGGUGUGUAUUUACUGAAAGCAGUAAGAUAUUGCUGGGGCUUUGGGUGCAAGAUGGAGAGUGCUCAGAGAUAAUGACAGGGGCCUGGUCCUGCAGGGCCUUACGUAGAAAGUCAAGGAAUUUAUUCUCUGAGCAAUUGAAAAUCAUCCCGAAAGAUCUGCAUUUUAGAAAUACCAUGUUGAGUAGUUGCAUAAGAAACCAGUUAGGAGGCCCCUUUUUAUUGGAGGUAGAGAAUAAUGAGAGACUGAACUACAGAAGUGGGGAAGGAAGACAGCUGUAGAUCCAAGAAAUAGUAUCCGGAAGAGAGGCUUGAGAAGUGAUCAAGGAGAAUUCCACAGUUAUCAGAGACCCUGUCUUCCUUGUUCACCACUAUAUUACCAGAACAUAAUACAAAUAAUGCUAUUGUUAUUGGGUGGCAUUAUUUGGUUAGUAGGUACUUUUUAAAAUUUUUAAAUUUAAUUUUAGUAUUAAAAUACAUGUAAAGAUCAGGAAAAUGAACUUUUAAAAAUAAAGGGCUUUCACUGGGCAUGAUAACACAUCCCUGUAGUCCCAGCUACUCCCAGCUAUUCAGGAGGCUGAGGCGGCAGGAUCACUUGAACCAAGGAGUUCAAGUUUAGCCUGGGCAGUAUAGUGAAACCCUUUCUCAAAAACAAAUAAAGGGCUACUGAAAUAAUGAUAAUUUAUAUUCAGGUCGUAGGUACCUAAUUACUAGUUACACAUACAUGGCUUUGAUGGGAAAUCAAAGAAACAUUCUGACAAUACAGAGAUUCAUCAAGCAAUUUGUCUUUGAAAGUUGAUUAUUCAAAAACAGAGCUUGUAGCAAAAGAAGCAGAAAUUAGAUCCCACAGUCAUCAAGUUUCAGAUCCUAAGGCUUGCAUUCUUACACCAAUUUCUUCUUUGCUUAAAUCUUAAUUUUCAUCAGCAUUAAUUAAGUGUCUGGGUACUCUGCCAGUCAGGAGAGAUGUUACCAAAGGUACAGGAUUUGAGAAGUAUUGUCAGAAGAGCCAAGUUCAUAAUCAGGCCCACAGGAUCAAUAAUUUGGGGGAGUGUUUAGAGCAGUUUCAAAGAUGAGAGCAGUAGAUCAAAGUAGAAUUUCAGGACUGAGCACAUGCCAAGGCACCCUUUUAUGGAUAUUCAACCUGUACCAGAAGGGAGGAGUCAUUUACUUAAAAGAGUUACACAAGAUGAAAGAGCUAGAUCCAAAUAAAGACGCUAUAAAAAUUACUAAUGGGGCUGAGCAUGGUGGAUUACAGGGAUUCAGUUAUUUAAUUAUUACUGAAAGAGCUCUUUUAGACUUAACCAGAUUUUUAAACCAAAUAUUCUUAUGCAUACAUAAAAGUAAGUUACACAAGAUAAAUUUGUUGAUCUUCCAAAAUAUCCCCCCUUACUAUACACUAGAGUGGGGUUUUGGCAUAAUGGCAGACAAAUAGAUGGAACGGAAUAGAGGGUCCAGGAAAAGAGCCAUUUGAUUAUUACUCCAUUUCAAUGAAGACACCAAUUUAAUUUAGUGGGGAAGGCAAGUUAUUUUCAAUAAAAGGUGAUGAAGAAAAUAGAUAUCCCUAUGUGGGAAAAAUGAACUAUGAUCCCCUACCUCACAGCAUACACAAACUUAAUUAAAAAUGGAUCACAGGCUGGGGAUGGUGGCUCACACCUGCAAUUCCAGCACUGUGGAAGGCCAAGAUGGGAGGAUCACUUGAGCCCAGGAGUUCAAGAUCAGCAUGGGUAAUACGAGGAAAUCCCAUCUCUCUUUAUUUUUUUCUUUUUUGAGAUGGGGGUGGUUAAUGGGUACAAAAAAAGUAGCCUGAAUAAGACAUACUAUUCGAGAGCACAAUAGGGUGACUAUAGUCAAUAAUAAUUGUAUAUUUUAAAAGAGUGUAACUGGAUUGUUUAUAACUCAAAGGAUAAAUGAUUGAGGGUAUGGAUAACCCCAUUCUCCAUGAUGUGCUUAUUUCACAUUGGAUGCCUAUAUCAAAACAUCUCAGGUACCCCAUAAAUAUAUACACCUACUAUAUACCAAAAAAACUUAAAAUUAAAAUUAGACUGGGUAUGGUAGCUCAUGCCUUAAUCCCAGCACUUUGGGAGGCAAAAAAAAAAAAAAAAAAAAAAAAAAAAAAAAAAAAAAAAAAAAAAAAAAAAAAAAAAAAAAAAAAAAAAAAAAAAAAAAAAAAAAAAAAAAAAAAAAAAAAAAAAAAAAAAAAAAAAAAAAAAAAAAAAAAAAAAAAAAAAAAAAAAAAAAAAAAAAA